GACGAACGCUGGCGGCGUGCUUAACACAUGCAAGUCGAACGGAAAGGCCCUGCUUUUGUGGGGUGCUCGAGUGGCGAACGGGUGAGUAACACGUGAGUAACCUGCCCUUGACUUUGGGAUAACUUCAGGAAACUGGGGCUAAUACCGGAUAGGAGCUCCUGCUGCAUGGUGGGGGUUGGAAAGUUUCGGCGGUUGGGGAUGGACUCGCGGCUUAUCAGCUUGUUGGUGGGGUAGUGGCUUACCAAGGCUUUGACGGGUAGCCGGCCUGAGAGGGGGACCGGGCACAUUGGGAAUGAGAUACGGCCCAGGCUGCGACGGGGGGGAGGCGUGGGGAAGAGUGCAAAAGGGGCGGAAGGCUGAUGCAGCAAUGCGGCGUGGGGGAUGACGGGCUUGGGGUUGUAAAACGCUUUCAGCAGGGGAGAAGCGGGGGGUGACGGUAAGGGAAGAAGAAGCACCGGAUAACUACGGG
rnacentral:rRNA from 1 species